CAAAUCUUGAUCAUCUAUUUCCACAUUUCAAUCUAAGUUUGACCCGGGAGAGAAAAUGCUCCUGCUCCGGUGGAGGCUGGAGGACCACAGUUCAAGGAUGUGAAAGGUGGGAUACCCAAAGAAGCUCCAAAUACCACCUGCCGGGUGCCACAUGCAUAGGCUCUAUACUGAGCACUUCAGACUGUUUCUAAUGCUAAAUGGCCACACCCAGUAGUUCAGCUAAGUGGACCACGUGCAGAGAUGCUGUAACUGGCACUGUGAUCUGGAGCACCAUGAACAGUACAGCUGCAACUGCUGUGCAAGAACUCCACACCCCACACGACUGGCAAGAACCCUAGAAAGCUGCCCUGCCCGUGGCCUAGCAGGUAGAGCAUGUGCUCUAGAGUGUGAACUCACACCUUUCCAUUCUUUGAUUAAAAAUAAAACUUUCCUUUGCUUUUGAAAUGAA
ensembl:lncRNA